UGGUGCCCAACAUGGGGCCCGAGAAUGGGGCAUCCAGUGAAGAAUGCUGUUAAGAGAGCCGUAGCAGAUUAGGAGUGAAAAAGAGGAGUAGAUGCAGGAACCUGCUGUGUCUUCUGAACCUCGGUAAGCAAAACAGCGAUUAUGGGACAAGAAAUUAGUCAGCAUGAACUGUUUGUUGACAGGCUAAGAAAAGCCUUAAAGGCACGAGGGGUGAAGGUAAAGACUAAGCAACUGUAUGAUUUCUUUGAUCACAUUAAGGACGUCUGUCCAU
rfam:Neotoma lepida isolate 417 scaffold_1824, whole genome shotgun sequence.